AUUGAACGCUGGCGGCAUGCCUUACACAUGCAAGUCGAACGGUAACAGGCCGCAAGGUGCUGACGAGUGGCGAACGGGUGAGUAACACAUCGGAACGUGCCUGAUAGUGGGGGAUAACUACUCGAAAGAGUAGCUAAUACCGCAUAAGAUCUCAGGAUGAAAGCAGGGGACCGCAAGGCCUUGCGCUAACAGAGCGGCCGAUGGCAGAUUAGGUAGUUGGUGGGAUAAAAGCUUACCAAGCCGACGAUCUGUAGCUGGUCUGAGAGGACGACCAGCCACACUGGGACUGAGACACGGCCCAGACUCCUACGGGAGGCAGCAGUGGGGAAUUUUGGACAAUGGGCGCAAGCCUGAUCCAGCAAUGCCGCGUGCAGGAUG
rnacentral:rRNA from 1 species